rnacentral:rRNA from 1 species
UACGGGGGGGGCAAGCGUUGUUCGGAAUUACUGGGCGUAAAGGGCUCGUAGGUGGCCAACUAAGUCAGACGUGAAAUCCCUCGGCUUAACCGGGGAACUGCGUCUGAUACUGGAUGGCUUGAGUUUGGGAGAGGGACGCGGAAUUCCAGGUGUAGCGGUGAAAUGCGUAGAUACCUGGAGGAACACCGGUGGCGAAGGCGGCGUCCUGGACCAACACUGACACUGAGGAGCGAAAGCCAGGGGAGCAAACGGG